AACGAACGCUGGCGGCAGGCCUAACACAUGCAAGUCGAGCGAGGACUUCGGUUCUAGCGGCGGACGGGUGAGUAACGCGUGGGAAUGUGCCCUUCUCUACGGAAUAGCCCUGGGAAACUGGGAGUAAUACCGUAUACGCACUAUUGGGGAAAGAUUUAUCGGAGAAGGAUCAGCCCGCGUUGGAUUAGGUAGUUGGUGGGGUAAUGGCCUACCAAGCCGACGAUCCAUAGCUGGUUUGAGAGGAUGAUCAGCCACACUGGGACUGAGACACGGCCCAGACUCCUACGGGAGGCAGCAGUGGGGAAUCUUAGACAAUGGGGGCAACCCUGAUCUAGCCAUGCCGCGUGAGUGAUGAAGGCCUUAGGGUUGUAAAGCUCUUUCAGCUGGGAAGAUAAUGACGGUACCAGCAGAAGAAGCCCCGGCUAACUCCGUG
rnacentral:rRNA from 1 species